UGGUCGGAAUAGUUGCAAAUUUUAUUCUAAUUUUUUAAUUUGCGACCUAUUUCCAGGCUACU
rnacentral:pre_miRNA from 1 species